CAUUAGCUAAAGUAGUGCUUCAGGUUAAGAACAGGUUAAGAACAGACCUCCGGAACGAAUUAAGUACUUAACCCAAGGUACCACUGUAUUUGAUAAUUGGCUUUGUUUUUCAAAGUAAAGGCAGCAGGACCAGAGAAGGAAAAAAAGAAGUGCCAGUAUUGAAGUAGAAGGGUAAGAUACUGCAGAAGUAGUUUUGAAGUGCCAAGCAGGUACACCGGCCAUGGAUUUCAGAACAAACAUGGUUUGCCUAUUUCCAUGAUUUUAUCUGUAACAUAAAAGCUUAGAAAAUGAAAACCAACUUUGUCAGGGAUCCAAAUUCCCUGUUAAGAUUACUUGUUAAUGGAUACAAUUGUACACAUGUGUAAUAUGCUCUGUUCUACAAGUCAUCAAAUACAAUGCCAGUCCAGAUUAGCAAAACUCGUGUUCGUCAAAUCGAAAUAAAAUAUUUUUCAUUCUUCAAGGUCUCAUACCCUGAAGAUUUCAUCAAAGUGAGAAUGCAAUGCAGUUUAUAUAAGACUUCAGUUAAGACUUCAACAUGUUCUGUGAAGUUUUAUCCAGCCCACCUCCCAAAGGAGUCCAAGAUCAUCUGCCUUGGCAAACUGCAAUUAAAAUAGAGCUGUUUUAAAAGGGGUACAUCAAAAGAUCAGAACAUGAUUCCUAAACAUGCAGCGUGGAUCAUCUGACACAUGCUGAGUUAACUUCCAGCUCUGAAACUCAGCUGAGGUGAAACACAGCGGAGGGGAGUGAUGGCAAGGCGGCAAAACCUGCUCUAAAGACUGCUAUCCUAGGUGGCAACUCAAAUUCCUUAAGCAUCAUACAGGCUCUGUUAAACUGACAAAGGAGUUUCUCUGGAGUUCACACAUCCUCUUCAAGCAGUUGUGUGCCACUUGAGUACAUUGUGGCAAGUUUUUGUGGCGAGAACAGAAAUACCAAAUUCAUCCUUGUACACUGAAGUGCUGCACCAGUGACCCCUGCAGCCUCCAGGGCCUAGUGCACACUUCGCACCUCUGUUUUGUGCUCCACCAGAUGUCUUACAAACCUCAUUCCCACCAGGUAGGAGCCAACUACUACCUCAGAGGUUUCCAGUCUCUCAGCAUCUUAGAACAUACCAAAUCACAUUGACUUGAGCCACUGUAGGUUGCUCAACCUCUUGUGCCCUAUUCCAAGCUUGUACCACCAGGGGCAGCCUGAAGCAUUUUGGCACCUGAGGGAAAUACCCUGCUGCUGCCCCCAUGAUGGGGAGCAGGCAAACUCCAUAAGGGCGUCUUCUCAAGUGACUAACUUACCCCGCCUCAUAGGCAGGCCAGCUCUCUGCACAAUAAUACUUGUAGGAAGUCCCUUUGGUGAUCAGAAUAAUGGAACAUGGAACUCAGUUUUCCACCAUAUAAAGGGAAUGUAAUGGGGAAGGUAAAUUAUAUUCAGGAGCUUCAAAUAACCCUGUUAGGACAAACUAGGUGUUCAACAGCAGAUAAAGGUCUGGACAGCCAGUUGCUAAUUAAAAGCCGAAAACAAAAAGAGGGUACGAUUUGCAAGGGAGAAGUGGCAAGUAGGUGCGGGUGCUCAACCCUUUUCCUGCCCUGCACUUCCCUCUCUUCCUCAAACUGGGGUUGCUAAAUACACUGGGGUUGGGGCUGCAGUGAAGAAACAGCUGAGGAAGGAGGGGAAAGCUGCUAAACUCACAUCACCUACCUCUUCUCUCCUGCAACUUCCCUGCCCUGAAAAUUGCACUCCCCUCUGAAGUUGUUUUGAAGUAGCCAGAGUUCCAAUCCAGGUCUGCCAGUAAAUUCUUGUUCCCCUCUUAAGGUUAUCCACAGAUUCACAGAACACCAGGGAAAUUACACGCUCUACAAGUUACUUCAGUAAUCAAACUAGUUACGGUAUACUACCAUCAGAUAAAGCUGACAGUAAAUAACACCUGAAACAAAUGUAGAAAAUAUCCUUUGUUUGCAAAUUCAGAUGUUAAGUUUAUUUUUUUAAAGCAUUUGUGGAUUUCCUUCUUUUUCUCUAUAGAAACCAAGAACAUGUGCUCUGUUAUUAUAUAGAGAAAAGGAGAUGGGCCUACAGUGAACAAGAGAGAAGGAAGAAGAGAUGCGCAAUAUUUGUACAGAUAAAUGAAUAAGCUGGAGCAGGUUGGAUGCUGGUCCAUCAGGCUGAACCCUAGUAACAAAGAUACCCUAUAAGUCAGAAGUAACAGAGGUUAGGAAACUAUAACCAAGAACUAGGCUAAAGCUGCUGCCCAGGGGACCUCAAUCUUCCCUCCAACUGCUGGACCUGUGGCCUCUACUGGAUCCCCAGACCAAGAGGUCCUUGAGUUUUAAGAGGCUUUGGAGCUGAGAACAUACACCAGCAGUGGGGAGUGGGCAGGAAGCCUCAAGGCACAAGAGGCCUUCAAUUUGCACAAAGAGUACAUUCACAUGUCAUAGUAACCCAUAAACCAUGGCCUACUGUGCACAAGACCAUUCCUGGCAUUUUAUUCCUGUCUGCUAGCACUGUGGAGAUACAAAACACAACGGCUAGGCUUAGUGUUACAUCCUAAAAAGCAAGAGUUUUGCUCCCAACUACAACUGACAGCCAAGUUUUGUUCUUGGCUUGCUGACUGAUUGUGGUUGUUUGAACGAAACAAACCUCAAUCUCCAGUUCAAAUGUAAUGCUAAGACAGGGACCAUGGUUUGUUUUCUUUGUGCGCUCACAGGGAGGAGCAAAACAGUCCAGAUAGGCAUGUUCAUAGUAAACUAUUUCAGAACACCAGAGAGAAUUGAAGACCUCCAUACACAACCAUAAAGAAUCCAAAUUGACCAUUCAGAAUCGCCCAUAGACAGCACAAAGCGUGGUGUAGUGGUUAGAGUGCUGGAAAAGGACCUGGGAGAUCAGGGUUCAAAUCCCUGCUCAGCCCAGAAACUCACUGGGUGACCUUGGGCCACUAACAGUCUCUCAACCUAGCCUACCUCACAGGGUUGUUGUGAGGAUAGUAUGCCACCUUGAGUGCCUUGUGAUAUUGGAAGUAAUUAUGCCAAAGAAAGGAAGGGCAGACCACAACCCCAAGCCUGAUAUUAUUCUUUUUAUAAUAAAAAACAAUGCCUAUUGGUGCCCCCCCUCAUGCAGUAAUAUUGCCUGCUUAAAUGUCUGUAUUAUUUGGAAGCUGAGCAACUGAACAUCCCAAAUGGAAACUCAUCCUAUUAGAUCUGGGUCUGGAUUUGAUAGAACCCCAAGAGACUAGAAACAAAGCUUAUUUGCCUGAAACGUCCAAAAGAAGCAGCCUCAGAAUGGGUAGAAGCUACCAUUGCUGACACUCAAAAAAGGGGUAUAUGUAACUUCGGUUGUCAACACAGUAACAGAAAGUCACAGCAACUAUGUCCUUCUCAUAUACGUAGUUGUGAAAUGUGGCAAUUGUGCACCUGCUGUUCAAAUAGCACAUGCUAUUGUUGCAAGGUCUGUGAGAUUUGGUUUUGUUACAAAUACUUCUCAGCUCAUGAUUGCUGCACUGCUAUAGUUAUGUAACUGUUAUAAGUCUAUGUAUUUUAAUAUGACAAUAUGUUUUGUUGUUGCAGGCAGGGAUUGGAAAUGGAACCCCUGGGCAAAAUGGUCAUCGCCUGUAUUUUAAAAACUAUGUGGUGAAAAUAGUGUUUUGUAGGUUAAUGCACUCUACAUUGUGAGGUGCUGUUGACCCCAAUAAAUUAUUUGUAGCUA